CCAAUAGCGUAUAUUAAAGUUGUUGCAGUUAAAAAGCUCGUAGUUGAAUUUCGGGAUUGGCGCAUCGGUCGUGCCUUACGGGGUAUGAACUGGUGCAGUCAAUUUCUCACCUUCUGGAGAACCGCUAUGUCCUUAAUUGGGUGCCGCGGGGAACCAGGACCUUUACUUUGAAAAAAUUAGAGUGUUUAAAGCAGGCAUUUUUGCUUGAAUACAUUUGCAUUGAAUAAUAAAAUAGGACGGCAUGGUUCUAUUUUGGUGGUUUCUAGGACCACCGUAAUGAUUAAUAGUGAUAGUUGGGGGCAUUAGUAUUCAAUUGUCAGAGAUGAAAUUCUUGGAUUUAUUGACGACUAACUACGGCGAAAGCAGUUGCCAAGGAUGUUUUCAUUAAUCAAGAACGAAAGUUAGGUGAUCGAAGACGAUCAGAUACCGUCGUAGUCUUAACCAUAAACUAUGCCGACUAGGAAUCAGACGAUGUUAAUUUUUUAAUGACUCGUUUGGCACCUUACG
rnacentral:misc_RNA from 1 species